rnacentral:rRNA from 1 species
AGCGAACGCUGGCGGCAGGCCUAACACAUGCAAGUCGAACGAAGUCUUCGGACUUAGUGGCGGACGGGUGAGUAACACGUGGGAACGUGCCUUUAGGUUCGGAAUAACUCAGGGAAACUUGUGCUAAUACCGAAUGUGCCCUUCGGGGGAAAGAUUUAUCGCCUUUAGAGCGGCCCGCGUCUGAUUAGCUAGUUGGUGAGGUAAAGGCUCACCAAGGCGACGAUCAGUAGCUGGUCUGAGAGGAUGAUCAGCCACAUUGGGACUGAGACACGGCCCAAACUCCUACGGGAGGCAGCAGUGGGGAAUCUUGCGCAAUGGGCGAAAGCCUGACGCAGCCAUGCCGCGUGAAUGAUGAAGGUCUUAGGAUUGUAAAAUCCUCUCACCGGGGACGAUAAUGACGGUACCCGGAGAAGAAGCCCCGGCUAACUUCGUGCCAGCCGCCGCAGUAAUAC